GAUGAACGCUAGCGGCAGGCCUAAUACAUGCAAGUCGAACGGUGUAGCAAUACACAGUGGCGCACGGGUGCGUAACACGUAUGCAACCUACCUUACAUUGGGGGAUAGCCUUUCGAAAGGGAGAUUAAUACCGCAUAAGACAGUAACUAGGCACCUAGUAGCUGUUAAAGAUUUAUCGAUGUAAGCUGGGCAUGCGUCCAAUUAGUUAGUUGGCGAGGUAAUGGCUCACCAAGACGAUGAUUGGUAGGGGAACUGAGAGGUCAAUCCCCUACACUGGCACUGAGAUACGGGCCAGACUCCUACGGGAGGCAGCAGUAGGGAAUAUUGGGCAAUGGGCGCAAGCCUGACCCAGCCAUGCCGCGUGCAGGAAGAAGGCGUUAUGCGUUGUAAACUGCUUUUAUACAGGAAGAAACGACCCUUGCGAGGGGCAUUGACGGUACUGUAUGAAUAAGCACCGGCUAACUCCGUGCCAGCAGCCGCGGUAAAAC
rnacentral:rRNA from 1 species